UCCUAUCAGCAGAGCUCUGCGCCGCUGCUCCAGCCCGCGCGGCUGCUUGCAGGUGAAUUGAAAGUCGUUGGCGGGGAGGGAAGGACACAGCCGCCGCCUCCUCUGCUUGCUUCUGCCUCUUGCUGCUGCGUCCUGGUGGGGCAGCUGAGGCGCGUGAAACCCGCACCCCCAGCCGAGCCCGGCGGCGUUUCUCCUUCUGCCGCUGUAGGGCAGCUGCUGCGCUGUGCCCGUGCCCAGGAGGCGCCCGCCUCAGGGGAGGCACCGGCCGGCCAGGCAUGUCUUCGCCGAGGGGCUCCCCGCUCGCCAGAGACCUCGAGGGAGCGGGAAGGACAGGCAGCCUCAAGCGCGCAAAGGCUUAAUUUUGCAAAUGCAUGCUUGUUUCUUAACGUCCUCUUGGCGUCCUCUUCCAUGGUUGGAGUCUGGCAGAUUUCUUUGGAGAUGCAGAAAGCAGAAAGAUCCCCCCAGAUGUGUGUGUUGAGAGUCACAGGACAGUGUGAGCUGCCAAGGUAAAGAGUGUGAGGCUGCUGUGAGAGGAGGUAAGAGUUGUUCGAGUCAUUUUCAAAACUCUGUGGUGCUUAAGCAGGUGAAUCUCUAAGGGCCAAAAAUCAUACUAUAUUAGUGUGUUUGGAGCUUGCGAUGUGCUUGGUAUUACUUCACAUAGUGUUACUUCACGCUACAAGAUGCUAUAGACCUGCUGAGGCUAAUAACUAAGCCAAGGAGUGAGGUAGAGAAGCUCUGUGCCCAAUCUUGCUAUUAUGAUUUAACAAAGUUAGGUAAAGUUUCUAUAAGUAUUCAGUCAGUUACUCACAGUUCUUCUGCUUGGUUUUUACCCUCGACCACCAGGGUCAGUUAUAAUUUGCUUUGUUUCUGUUUAAACUGAAAAUAAAUAAAACUUAAUAGCAAAUGAAAAGUGUAUGGUUUUUAAAGGCAAUUGUGCUAAAUCCAUGGCAAGCCAAUUCCCUGAGCAGCAUGACAUAUCUAACAAUAAUUCAUGUAAUAAUAGGUGGUCAGUUGCAUGCCAAUCCUGUUUCCCCCUGUCUUCUGGGAGUGUUUGGCUUGAGGGCUAAGUUGCGUAUGAAAGGGAAGGAAUAUGAAG
rnacentral:lncRNA from 1 species